rnacentral:rRNA from 1 species
AUUGAACGCUGGCGGCAGGCUUAACACAUGCAAGUCGAGCGGGGGAAGGUAGCUUGCUACCGGACCUAGCGGCGGACGGGUGAGUAAUGCUUAGGAAUCUGCCUAUUAGUGGGGGACAACAUCUCGAAAGGGAUGCUAAUACCGCAUACGUCCUACGGGAGAAAGCAGGGGAUCUUCGGACCUUGCGCUAAUAGAUGAGCCUAAGUCGGAUUAGCUAGUUGGUGGGGUAAAGGCCUACCAAGGCGACGAUCUGUAGCGGGUCUGAGAGGAUGGUCCGCCAGACUGGGACUGAGACACGGCCCAGACGCCUACGGGAGGCAGCAGUGGGGAAUAUUGGACAAUGGGGGGAACCCUGAUCCGGCCAUGCCGCGUGUGUGAAGAAGGCCUUAUGGUUGUAAAGCACUUUAAGCGAGGAGGAGGCUACUUUAGUUAAUACCUAGGGAUAGUGGACGUUACUCGCAGAAGAAGGACCGGCCAACUACGUGCCAGCCGCCGCCGUAA